rnacentral:rRNA from 1 species
GAGUAACACGUGGGUAACCUGCCCAGAAGUAGGGGAUAACACCUGGAAACAGAUGCUAAUACCGUAUAACAGAGAAAACCGCAUGGUUUUCUUUUAAAAGAUGGCUCUGCUAUCACUUCUGGAUGGACCCGCGGCGUAUUAGCUAGUUGGUGAGGUAAAGGCUCACCAAGGCAGUGAUACGUAGCCGACCUGAGAGGGUAAUCGGCCACAUUGGGACUGAGACACGGCCCAGACUCCUACGGGAGGCAGCAGUAGGGAAUCUUCCACAAUGGACGCAAGUCUGAUGGAGCAACGCCGCGUGAGUGAAGAAGGGUUUCGGCUCGUAAAGCUCUGUUGUUAAAGAAGAACGUGGGUAAGAGUAACUGUUUACCCAGUGACGGUAUUUAACCAGAAAGCCACGGCUAACUACGUGCCAGCAGCCGCGGUAAUACGUAGGUGGCAAGCGUUAUCCGGAUUUAUUGGGCGUAAAGCGAGCGCAGGCGGUCUUUUAAGUCUAAUGUGA